AGAUGAGAUGAACAAAUGAAGAAGCGUCUCGAUCCAGAACGUCAUCCAUUCCUUCUCUCCAGAGAUGCUGCCCAUCCCGCUGAGUUACUCCAGCUUUUUGUGUCUUU